rnacentral:rRNA from 1 species
CAGUCGCCGCGGUAAUACGAGGGGGGCAAGCGUUGCUCGGAAUUAUUGGGCGUAAAGGGUGCGUAGGCGGCCCCGCAAGUCUCAUGUGAAAUCUUCAGGCUCAACUUGAAGUCUGCAUGGGAAACUGCGGGGCUGGAGUAUGGGAGAGGUGAGUGGAAUUCCUGGUGUAGCGGUGAAAUGCGUAGAUAUCAGGAGGAACACCUGUGGCGAAAGCGGCUCACUGGACCAUAACUGACGCUGAGGCACGAAAGCUAGGGGAGCAAACAGGAUUAGAUACCCCCGUAGUCCCUGUCUCUUAUAC